ensembl:lncRNA
GCCCCGCCUUCUCUGCGGCUGCACCGCCCCGCGGGGGUUCGGUUCCGAGCGUCGCCUUCCUCUACGGUCUCCGUGUGGAGCCCGGCCGCGGGGUUCUAACGGUCCAGCCCGCAGGGACUCAGGACUGCGGUCUACCCCCGACCUCCUCACACCUUCCGGGGUGACCUGAGGGCGGAGCCUGAGUCCUGUGUCCCCGGUUGCACCGCCCCCAACCACCCCCGUCCCCUGUCGACCCCGUCUCCAGUCUCUUCCAAACCGGCCGGCCCCCGGCCUAGCAAUUCGAGAUUUCUCCCGUGGCUUCCGAGGAAAAGGAGGCCCCUACCCUGUAUCUGUGCCCUCCUUUGCAUCAGGGACCUAAACUGCUGUUUUGGAGAGGUUGUCUCUACCCCUCAGCUUGGUUGGUUUGAAACCCUGCACGACCUGUGAAGUCUUCCCCGGAUGGCUACAUCGUCUGGGGUCCCUUGUCCUGCCUGUACCCACAGCAAGCCCACGAAUCCAGGGCUUCCCUUGUUUCUGGAACAGCAACAGGAGGCCACCCUUCGGCUUGAGCCCUCCCCACCGCCCUCCACCGCCUGACUCUGACUUCUGGAAAGAGGAAUCUUCUCUGAGUGUCUCCAGCUCCUCCCCAGCCUGCUGCCCUAGCAGGUUGCUGGUGUUGACUUCUGGAAAGAGGAAUCUUCUCUGAGUGUCUCCAGCUCCUCCCCAGCCUGCUGCCCUAGCAGGCCCUGAGGUUCUGUGGCUUCCCAGCUCUCAGCUGUCCCCCACCCCAGCGCCACCGCCCCUCAAAUGGGCCUUCACUUCUGCGCUGGGUCUCCUCACAGCCUCUCACCUGGCUGCCUGCCCAGUCUUCCCCACCCUAUCUCAGGAGAUCUUCCUAACUGGAGCCGCAAGAGAUGCCACUUCGAUCCCUCAGUCAGAAAGGUCCCCUGGAGGAGGGCACGGCAACCAACCUACACCAGUAUUC